AACAAAAAAAAAGAAAAAGUCGCUCAACAUAUAAUGCCUGCUGUGCCUUUUGUAUCUGCUUUUUUACUUAUUUUAUAACAUUUUGUUUUGUUUUAUUCACCUAACUAGCUAACACCUAAAAAA
rnacentral:ribozyme from 13 species